rnacentral:rRNA from 1 species
CACGUAGGGUGCGAGCGUUGUCCGGAAUUAUUGGGCGUAAAGAGCUCGUAGGCGGUUUGUCGCGUCGGCCGUGAAAACUUGCAGCUUAACUGUGGGCGUGCGGUCGAUACGGGCAUCACUGGAGUUCGGCAGGGGAGACUGGAAUUCCUGGUGUAGCGGUGAAAUGCGCAGAUAUCAGGAGGAACACCGGUGGCGAAGGCGGGUCUCUGGGCCGAUACUGACGCUGAGGAGCGAAAGCGUGGGGAGCGAACAGG